rnacentral:rRNA from 1 species
UAGGGAAUCUUCCACAAUGGACGAAAGUCUGAUGGAGCAACGCCGCGUGAACGAUGAAGGCUUUCGGGUCGUAAAGUUCUGUUGUAAGGGAAGAACAAGUGCCGCAGGCAAUGGCGGCACCUUGACGGUACCUUGCGAGAAAGCCACGGCUAACUACGUGCCAGCAGCCGCGGUAAUACGUAGGUGGCAAGCGUUGUCCGGAAUUAUUGGGCGUAAAGCGCGCGCAGGCGGCCUCUUAAGUCUGAUGUGAAAGCCCCCGGCUCAACCGGGGAGGGCCAUUGGAAACUGGGAGGCUUGAGUAUAGGAGAGAAGAGUGGAAUUCCACGUGUAGCGGUGAAAUGCGUAGAGAUGUGGAGGAACACCAGUGGCGAAGGCGACUCUUUGGCCUAUAACUGACGCUGAGGCGCGAAAGCGUGGGGAGCAAACAGGAUUAGAUACCCUGGUAGUCCACGCCGUAAACGAUGAGUGCUAGGUGUUGGAGGGUUUCCGCCCUUCAGUGCUGAAGCUAACGCAUUAAGCACUCCGCCUGGGGAGUACGGUCGCAAGGCUG